rnacentral:rRNA from 1 species
UACGUAGGGACCGAGCGUUGUCCGGAAUCAUUGGGCGUAAAGCGCGUGUAGGCGGCCACUUAAGUCCUGCGUGAAAUCUUGCGGCUCAACCGCAAGCGGUCGUGGGAAACUGGGUGGCUAGAGUGCGGGAGAGGAGAGUGGAAUUCCUGGUGUAGCGGUGGAAUGCGCAGAUAUCAGGAAGAACACCCGUGGCGAAGGCGGCUCUCUGGAACGCAACUGACGCUGAGACGCGAAAGCGUGGGGGGCAAACAGG